rnacentral:rRNA from 1 species
AUGAACGCUGGCGGCGUGCCUAAUACAUGCAAGUCGAGCGAACAGACGAGGAGCUUGCUCCUCUGACGUUAGCGGCGGACGGGUGAGUAACUCGUGGAUAACCUACCUAUAAGACUGGGAUAACUUCGGGAAACCGGAGCUAAUACCGGAUAAUAUAUUGAACCGCCUGGUUCAAUAGUGAAAGACGGUUUUGCUGUCAUUUAUAGAUGGAUCCGCGCCGCAUUAGCUAGUUGGUAAGGUAACGGCUUACCAAGGCAACGAUGCGUAGCCGACCUGAGAGGGUGAUCGGCCACACGGGAACUGAGACACGGUCAAGACGCCUACGGGAGGCAGCAGUAGGGAAUCUUCCGCAAUGGGCGAAAGCUUGACGGAGCAACGCCGCGUGAGUGAUGAAGGUCUUCGGAUCGUAAAACUCUGUUAUUAGGGAAGAACAAAUGUGUAAGUAACUAUGCACGUCCUGACGGUACCUAAUCAGAAAGCCACGGCUAACUACGUG